CUUCUGUCUGACAAAUAAUCUUUUUUAAGGUUAAUGGGGUUCAUUCCUCCGUGUAACCUUAAAGCCUUUCGUGUUAAUCUUCCUAAUAACUGAAGUCAGUACUGUACAUCCAAGACAAGUGAGGUGUAAACAAACCUAGAUAAACCCUCAGGAUCUAGAUAAACGUAUUCGACCAUUUACAGAAAGGUCUCUUCACAGCCACAAACUACGUUUUUUCAAAGGUCUUUACAAUGGGAGAGAAAUUCGAAUCACUUCUGGUCCUACCCUUAGUAAAUACAUUACAAGCAUUUGACGGAAGUGAAACAAACCUUGACAUCCAAGAGUUUUGACUAGUUUUCUUUUUUUUUUAGCUACAAUACGACGAAACAUGAUUGACAUGUUUAAGUACGGCGUUAGUCGCGGCUGACUUGUUAUCCGCCGGAAGUCGCGUUCCCAGUUACAGGAAAUGGCCGAAACGAGAGCGCCGCGCGCGCGCCUAUGCCGGAAGUGAAAUCGUGAGCGGAUGGCAGACGCGUUUGCCGCGCCUGUACUGUGAUGACGAAGCAUGAUGGCGACUGAGGUGGCCGAGUUCCUCCGGAGUCAUCAGCCAGCUGCUGCUAUCCCGGUAGUGAAGCAGCACACCUCACGUGGGAAUGGUAACCGGAUAAAAACCAAGCCAUUCAGAAACCCGGAUGAGCUCUGGCCCCACGAGCCGCUGAUGACUCCAGCCUGGACCGUAGAUUUGGAAUACACCCGCAGUGUCCAACCUGAUGACCUGCAGCCCUCUAGCUGUUUGGAGAAUGUCGUGGGUGGGGAGGGGUAUUUGCAAUGGCUUUUGACGCUGGUAUAAAAUGCCUUUUUAAUAUUUCUGUACUGUGUAUCGCAUACUUACCAUUGCUACGCAAGGUGAGGAAAAAAAGGAUAAAAGGGUUAGACAGGGGAGCUGACCGGCUGCUACUUCUGUCGAGGGCCCGAGGGCGGGGGGGGCAGUCUCCCCGAAAUAAUUCAGGCUGAUGUUAAACAGGUGUGUACCAGCUGGCUGAAGCGUGAAAUAACAAACAUUCUGUAGUGUGAUGAAACC
rnacentral:lncRNA from 1 species